rnacentral:rRNA from 1 species
UACGUAGGUGGCAAGCGUUGUCCGGAAUUAUUGGGCGUAAAGCGCGCGCAGGCGGCUUCUUAAGUCUGAUGUGAAAGCCCACGGCUCAACCGUGGAGGGUCAUUGGAACCUGGGGAACUUGAGUGCAGAAGAGAAGAGCGGAAUUCCACGUGUAGCGGUGAAAUGCGUAGAGAUGUGGAGGAACACCAGUGGCGAAGGCGGCUCUUUGGUCUGUAACUGACGCUGAGGCGCGAAAGCGUGGGGAGCAAACAGG